UACAGAGGUCCCGAGCGUUGUUCGGAUUCACUGGGCGUAAAGGGUGCGUAGGUGGCAUGGAAAGUUUGAUGUGAAAGCUCAGGGCUUAACCCUGAAAUGGCAUUGAAUACUGCUGUGCUGGAGGUUUGGAGGGGGGACUGGAAUUCUUGGUGUAGCAGUGAAAUGCGUAGAGAUCGUAAGGAAGACCAGUGGCGAAGGCGGGUCUCUGGACAGUUCCUGACACUGAGGCACGAAGGCCAGGGGAGCAAACGGG
rnacentral:rRNA from 1 species